rnacentral:rRNA from 1 species
UACGGGGGGGGCAAGCGUUGUUCGGAAUUACUGGGCGUAAAGGGCUCGUAGGUGGCCAACUAAGUCAGACGUGAAAUCCCUCGGCUUAACCGGGGAACUGCGUCUGAUACUGGAUGGCUUGAGUUCGGGAGAGGGACGCGGAAUUCCAGGUGUAGCGGUGAAAUGCGUAGAUAUCUGGAGGAACACCGGUGGCGAAGGCGGCAUCCUGGACCGACACUGACGCUGAGGAGCGAAAGCCAGGGGAGCAAACGGG